CCCUCACCCCUCUGUCUGUCCUUAUAUUGGCUUCCUGUAUCCUAUAGGAGUCAAUUCAAAGUGCUAACCCAUACCUAUAAAGCACUGACCAAUUCUAGACCCUCUUAUAUCUCUUCACAGACCCAUAGGAAUGCCCCUUCUCGGUCUCUCCGCUCCGCUUGCAGGACUUCCCACGGGUGGCUCCCUUCAUAUGGAAUAGCCUGCCUACCGCCAUCAGACUCUCCCCUAGUCUUCAUUCGUUUAAGAAGUGCCUUAAAACCCAUCUCUUUAGGAAAGCUUAUGGCCUCCCAGAGUAACCUCUACCUCACAUACCUGUCUCUUGCUCUCUCCUAAUGGGCAGCACUCUACUCUCUCCCCCAGCUCUGCUUCACUCCCACCUUAUCUGAUUGCUAUUUCCUGUCCUACUGUGUUUUAUACCCCACCUCCUAUAGACUGUAAGUUGGUUUGAGCAGGGUCCAUUUCAACCUAUCGUUCCUGUAAGUUUUCUUGUAAUUGUCCUAUUUAUAGUUAAAUCUCCCCUUUCAUAAUAUUGUAAAGCUCUAUGGAAUCUGUUGGCGCUAUAUAAAUGGCAAUAAUAAUGAUAAUUCUC